rnacentral:lncRNA from 1 species
AUGGGCAGUAGAAAGAGGGGGGCCCAUAAUCGGUGCCCUCCAUAAAAUCUGGUUGGCGAUGGUUGGAAACCAAUCGAUCGGUGGGCCGCUACCAUGUCCUUGACGUCAGCUGCCAGUAGCCGCCGGCAAUCAAGGAGAAACCGUCAGUCUAUUAAGAUUCGACGAUCUUCACUAUAUUUUAUUUUAUUUAUUUUUUUGUUUGGACGACUGAGUGGCUGGCGAAUUGCAUCCAGCACCAUCGUCGGUCCUAUUCGCAGCACUGCCUAAUCGGAUGGAUGCCUGUGGUGGCAGC